GCCCCUGUUCCCCCAAGGAGAGAGCAUGGAAGCUUCUAAAUCUCAUUGUGUUGCUGGUGCCUGCCUUCCCAUGAUGCCCUCAGACAAAUCAGCAGCACCGAAUAAACAAGACUCAGACUGGAACUCAAAAACUGGACUUUCACAGUAUGAAACCACUUCAUCUAUUUGUUUGCCUAUGAUCUUCAGCUCUG